rnacentral:sRNA from 1 species
UCACAAACCACUUCUCACCACACACACAGCCAGUUCUAUCAAUGCCUUCCCUACUCUUCUAAGCAUCCCAUUACCUUUCACACAUAGUAUAUUUUAGUGCUUGACGGGCACAGCAGCGCUUAUGCGUGUAAUUCCUUCCAUCUUUACUUCCCAGGACUACAUAUCUGAUCAUCUCUGGAAAGCUUCGGUAAAUUGAGUCAUAAAACGAGCCAGCGGGUUACAAAAUAUAGAAAAAUCAACAAUGUUUGCACGAGUUAUCAAAUCAGCCCCAGUGGGGACUCAUAUUACCGCUGCUUUGAGGGGUCCAGCUUUUAACGCGCGGUUUAUGGCUACCGUCAAUCGAACCGAUUUGUCCCAGACCGCCAACCCUUCUACCAAAAUCAGCCCAUCCUCUCAUGACAGGGCGACUUUCACAAUCAGAGAUGGUCCGGUAUUCCACGGGAAGUCAUUUGGCGCCAAGUCAAACAUCUCUGGCGAAGCUGUCUUCACCACUUCUCUCGUGGGAUACCCGGAGUCCUUGAGUGACCCUUCUUAUCGUGGCCAGAUUUUGGUCUUCACCCAACCCUUGAUUGGUAACUACGGUGUGCCAUCCGCUGAACGAGAUGAAAAUGGCCUUCUUAAAUAUUUCGAAUCCCCGAGUCUCCAGGCUGUUGGUGUUGUCGUUGCUGAUGUUGCCGAGCGCUACAGCCACUGGACGGCUGUUGAGAGCCUCGGUGAAUGGUGUGCUAGGGAAGGUGUCCCCGCAAUUUCUGGAGUUGACACUCGCGAAAUUGUCACUUAUCUUCGAGAGCAGGGUUCUUCCCUAGCCCGAAUCACAAUUGGCGAGGAAUACGACGCUGAUCAGGACGAGGCCUUUGUUGACCCGGAGCAAAUCAAUUUGGUGCAAAAGGUCAGCACCAAGGCUCCCUUCCAUGUCAGCCCUGGCAACAGCACUGCACACGUUGCUGUUAUCGACUGCGGCGUGAAGGAGAAUAUCCUGCGAAGUCUCGUCAACCGGGGUGCCAGCAUCACUGUCUUCCCUUACGACUAUCCCAUCCACAAAGUCGCUCACCACUUCGACGGAGUGUUCAUCUCCAACGGACCUGGUGACCCAACCCACUGCCAUGAUACCGUCUUCAACCUCCGCAAGUUGAUGGAGACGUCCCAGGUACCAAUAAUGGGGAUCUGCCUUGGCCAUCAGCUCCUUGCCCUGGCGUCUGGUGCUCGAACCAUCAAGCUGAAGUAUGGCAACCGCGCGCACAAUAUCCCAGCUCUGGAUUUGACGACAGGUCGCUGCCAUAUUACCAGUCAGAAUCACGGAUAUGCCGUGGAUGCUUCUACGCUUCCAAGCGACUGGAAGCCUUACUUCAUCAACUUGAACGACUCUAGCAACGAAGGCCUUAUCCACAAGACCCGACCUAUUUUCAGCACCCAGUUCCAUCCGGAGGCAAAGGGUGGCCCGCUCGAUUCUUCGUAUCUUUUUGAUAUCUACCUGGAGAGCGUGCAAAAAUACAAAACCACCCAAGCUAUGUUCCAACCUCAACGAGACAGCCGCCCCAGCUCUCUGCUUGCUGAUCUUUUGGGCAAAGAACGAGUUGGAGUACAGACUACCAUUGGCGUCCAGACUGGGCCUAUCGCAGCCGAUUCUGCCGCUGCUACUGUUGCUGCCACUGUUGCUGCCGCCGCUUGAUUGAUGGAUUUUGCUGGCGCCUUUUGCUUAUAUUCUCUUUUUGCCCAUGGCUCUUUGGCGUUUGAUUCUUGUCUUUUGUGUUUGUUAUUGUUUUGAUCCUUUUGCAUUUAUCGCGUCUCGAGUGCGUAGACCAUCGUUCAAUCCCAUGAUACUUUAUUUACCUACUAAGCUCUUUAUAAAUAUAUCAUUCAAUUGCAUUAUCAUACCUCGUACUGCGAUAGUCAUCUUUUUCUGCAUAAAGGCAGUUCCCCAUC